GAUGAACGCUGGCGGCAUGCCUUACACAUGCAAGUCGAACGGCAGCACGGGUGCUUGCACCUGGUGGCGAGUGGCGAACGGGUGAGUAAUACAUCGGAACGUACCUUAUCGUGGGGGAUAACGCAGCGAAAGCUGUGCUAAUACCGCAUACGCCCUGAGGGGGAAAGCGGGGGAUCGCAAGACCUCGCGCGAUUAGAGCGGCCGAUGCCUGGUUAGCUUGUUGGUGGGGUGAAAGCCCACCAAGGCGACGAUCAGUAGAUGGUCUGAGGGGACGAUCAGCCCAACGGGGACUGAGACACGGCCCAGACUCCUACGGGAGGCAGCAGUGGGGAAUUUUGGACAAUGGGGGCAACCCUGAUCCAGCAAUGCCGCGUGAGUGAAGAAGGCCUUCGGGUUGUAAAGCUCUUUUGUCAGGGAAGAAACACCGGCUCUAACACAGUCUGGGAAUGACGGUACCUGAAGAAUAAGCACCGGCUAACUACGUGCCAGCAGCCGCGGUAA
rnacentral:rRNA from 1 species